rfam:Candidatus Daviesbacteria bacterium RIFCSPHIGHO2_01_FTLL_41_23 rifcsphigho2_01_scaffold_428, whole genome shotgun sequence.
CUAGGAAGAAGGAUGAUCGGGGUGUACCAUACGGUACGCCCAGGAAAGUCCAGACAGCAUAAAGCAGGGUGUCCGGCGUAAGCCGGAAGCCGUAAGGCCUAGUUAGAGCAACAGUGACGAAUCCCGUACCAUACGGUACAGGAGUGAAACGCCGAAAGCCGCAAGGCAAGUAAGUGAUGCACCGUUCUGGUGCGUCAGGCAAUCCUCCCCGCUGCAAUCCUAGAACCAACAGGACUGCUUGUCUAUUUGUUGAAAUCAGGAGCGUUAGAUAAAUGAUCGUCUUGAAACAGAAUCUGGCUUACUAGCUUCCUAGGCAC